rnacentral:rRNA from 1 species
NNNNNAACAAGGAUUCCCCUAGUAACUGCGAGUGAAGCGGGAAAAGCUCAAAUUUAAAAUCUGGCAGCUUUGGCUGUCCGAGUUGUAUUCUGGAGAAGUGUUUCCUGUGCUGGACCGUGUACAAGUCUCUUGGAACAGAGCGUCKUAGAGGGUGAGAAUCCCGUCUUUGACACGGACUCCCAGUGCUUUGUGAUGCGCUCUCAAAGAGUCGAGUUGUUUGGGAAUGCAGCUCAAAAUGGGUGGUAAAUUCCACCUAAAGCUAAAUAUUGGCGAGAGACCGAUAGCGAACAAGUACCGUGAGGGAAAGAUGAAAAGCACUUUGGAAAGAGAGUUAAACAGUACGUGAAAUUGCUGAAAGGGAAACGAUUGAAGUCAGUCGCGUCGGCCAGAACUCAGCCUGGCUUUUGCCUGGUGCAUUUCCUGGUUAACGGGCCAGCAUCAAUUUUGAYCGCUGGAUAAAGGCCUUGGGAAUGUGGCACCUUCGGGUGUGUUAUAGCCCUUGGUUGUAUACGGUGGUUGGGAUUGAGGAUCACAGCAUGCCUUUAUGGCCGGGGUUCGCCCACGUUCAUGCUUAGGAUGCUGGCGUAAUGGCUUUAAACGACCCGUCUUGAAACACGGACCAAGGAAUCUAACAUGCCUGCGAGUGUUUGGGUGGAAAACCCGAGCGCGCAAUGAAAGUGAAAGUUGGGAUCCCUGUCGCGGGGAGCACCGACGCCCGGACCAGACCUUUUGUGACGGAUCCGCGGUAGAACAUGUAUGUUGGGACCCGAAAGAUGGUGAACUAUGCCUGAAUAGGGUGAAGCCAGAGGAAACUCUGGUGGAGGCUCGUAGCGAUUCUGACGUGCAAAUCGAUCGUCAAAUUUGNNUNUNGGGGCGAAAGACNNNNNNNNNNNNNNNNNNNNNNNNNNNNNNN